GACGAACGCUGGCGGCGUGCUUAACACAUGCAAGUCGAACGGAAAGGCCCUGCUUUUGUGGGGUGCUCGAGUGGCGAACGGGUGAGUAACACGAGAGUAACCUGCCCUUGACUUUGGGAUAACUUAAGGAAACUGGGGCUAAUACCGGAUAGGAGCUCCUGCUGCAUGGUGGGGGUUGGAAAGUUUCGGCGGUUGGGGAUGGAGUUGCGGGUUUUCAGCCCGUUGGUGGGGUAGUGGCUUACCAAGGCUUUGACGGGUAGCCGGCCUGAGAGGGUGACCGGCCACGUUGGGACUGAGAUGCGGCCCAGACGCCUACGGGAGGGAGCAGUGGGGAAUAUUGUACAAUGGGCGGAAGCCGUAUGCAGCAACGCCGCGUGCGGGGUGAAGGCCUUCGGGUUGUAAACCGCUUUCGCCUGUGACGAAGCGUGAGUGACGGUAAUGGGUAAAGAAGCACCGGCUAACUACGUG
rnacentral:rRNA from 1 species